GCCAAAGCCUGUUCCCGGGUUGGUAGGCUGAGUGAGGUGUGUGGAGGAAGUCAGGAAGAGCUGAGUCUGGGCUUAUUUGUAGCCUGGCUACCACGUUAUUAGCUAAAGUCUCCAGGAGUAACACAUGGCCACUAGCUUUUCACAGGCAACUUUACGAGGAUUUAGCAAUCAAAUGGCUUCAGGUAAGGAAGAUGGCUUAGCAAGCCAAGGUGCUUGCCACCAAGGCUGAUGGCCGGAGUUCAGUCCCUGCAACCCACAAGGUUUUGAACCUUUCAUUGUUGGCUGCUUAGAAGACUCCCUCACUUACAUGAGUUCUCAAGUUUUGGAAAAUCAAGUUUCAUUUUGAACACAUGGAAUUUUGGCACCUUCUUUCUCUACAAAUGUGAUUGGUAGGCAAUCACCAUCUACAAGUCUGUCUUUUUGUACAGUUAAAACCUGUGAGCCCUCUUGUAAAUUUUUGUCAUGGCAGGC
rnacentral:lncRNA from 1 species